GACGUAGGGCGCGAGCGUUGUCCGGAUUUAUUGGGCGUAAAGAGCUCGUAGGCGGCUUGUCGCGUCGAAUGUGAAAUCUCGGGGCUCAACUCCGAGCUUGCAUUCGAUACGGGCAGGCUAGAGUUCGGUAGGGGAGACUGGAAUUCCUGGUGUAGCGGUGAAAUGCGCAGAUAUCAGGAGGAACACCGGUGGCGAAGGCGGCGACCUGGGUUGACACUGACGCUGAGGCGCGAAAGCGUGGGGAGCAAACAGG
rnacentral:rRNA from 1 species